CGCGUGCUUAACAUUUGCAAGUCGAGCGAUGAAGUUCCUUCGGGGACGGAUUAGCGGCGGACGGGUGAGUAACACGUGGGUAACCUGCCUCAUAGAGGGGAAUAGCCUUCCGAAAGGAAGAUUAAUACCGCAUAAGAUUGUAGCUUCGCAUGAAGCAGCAAUUAAAGGAGUAAUCCGCUAUGAGAUGGACCCGCGUCGCAUUAGCUAGUUGGUGAGGUAACGGCUCACCAAGGCGACGAUGCGUAGCCGACCUGAGAGGGUGAUCGGCCACAUUGGGACUGAGACACGGCCCAGACUCCUACGGGAGGCAGCAGUGGGGAAUAUUGCACAAUGGGGGAAACCCUGAUGCAGCAACGCCGCGUGAGUGAUGACGGUCUUCGGAUUGUAAAACUCUGUCUUUGGGGACGAUAAUGACGGUACCCAAGGAGGAAGCCACGGCUAACUACGUGCCAGCAGCCGCGGUAAUACGUAGGUGGCAAGCGUUGUCCGGAUUUACUGGGCGUAAAGGACGCGUAGGCGGACAUUUAAGUCAGAUGUGAAAUACCCGAGCUAACUUGGGUGCUGCAUUUGAACUGGGUGUCUAAAGUGCAGGAAAG
rnacentral:rRNA from 1 species